rnacentral:tRNA from 1 species
GGUCCAGUAGCUCAGUGGAUAGAGCGGCCGCCUCCUAAGCGGCAGGUCGGCAGUUCGACUCUGCCCUGGAUCA